rnacentral:rRNA from 1 species
AGAGUUUGAUCAUGGCUCAUGACGAACGCUGGCGGCGUGCUUAACACAUGCAAGUCGAACGGAAAUAUUGGAGUAUUUAUAUGAAGAUAUUUUAGUGGCGGACGGGUGAGUAACGCGUGGGUAACCUGCCCUAUGGAGGGGGAUAACACACAGAAAUGUGUGCUAAUACCGCAUAAUGUAGUACUACCGCAUGGUGGAACUAUCAAAGAUUUAUUACCAUAGGAUGGACCCGCGGCCCAUUACCUAGUUGGUGAGGUAACGGCUCACCAAGGCGACGAUGGGUAGCCGGACUGAGAGGUCGAACGGCCACAUUGGAACUGAGACACGGUCCAGACUCCUACGGGAGGCAGCAGUGGGGAAUAUUGCACAAUGGAGGAAACUCUGAUGCAGCAACGCCGCGUGAGUGACGAAGGCCUUCGGGCUGUAAAACUCUGUCUUACCUGACGAUAAUGACGGUAAGCUAGGAGGAAGCCACGGCUAACUACGUGCCAGCAGCCGCGGUAAUACGUAGGUGGCGAGCGUUGUCCGGAAUUACUGGGCGUAAAGGGAGCGUACGCGGUUUUUUAAGUGGGAUGCGAAAUCCCCGGGCUUAACCUGUGAAUGGCAUUCCAAACUGGAAGACUAGAGUGCAGGAGAGGAAAGUGGAAUUCCAAGUGUAGCGGUGAAAUGCGUACAGAUUUGGAGGAACACUAGUGGCGAAGGCGACUUUCUGGACUGAUACUGACGCUGAGGCUCGACAGCGUGUGGAGCAAACAGGAUUAUAUACCCUGGUAGUCCACGCUGUAAACGAUGAAUACUACGUGUUGGGGCUAAGCCUCAGAGCCGCAUUUACACCUUAAGAUUCCGCCCUGGGGAGUACGACCGCAAGGUUGAAACUCAAAUGAAUUGACGG